rnacentral:ncRNA from 2 species
AUGUCGCGUGCGGGAGAGCCCCGUCCCCUCGGGGAACGGGCACCGAAGGAGCAAGCCUCCCCGCCAAUCUCUCAGGUCCGCGUACCGCUCGCGUCCG